CAGUGCAAUAGUAUUGUCAUAGCAU
rnacentral:ncRNA from 6 species